rnacentral:misc_RNA from 1 species
GAUGAAGAACGCAAGCGAAAUGCGAUACUUGGUGUGAAUUGCAGAAUCCCGUGAACCAUCGAGUCUUUGAACGCAAGUUGCGCCCGAAGCCUCGGCUAAGGGCACGUCUGCCUGGGCGUCACGCAUCGCGUCUCCCCCAAACCGCCAAGGCGGAGGGGAAGGAAGAUGGCUUCCCGUGCCUCACCCGGGCGCGGUUGGCCUAAAUUUGGAGCCCGCGGCACUUAGCUCUCGCGGCGAUAAGUGGUGAACAAGGCCUUGGCCGUGCAAACAACCCGCUGCGAAGCUCUAUGUCACGUGCGCUCGUCGGACCCUUUGAAGUUGCCUUUGGUGACUUAAAACCUUUGCGACCCCAGGUCAGGCGGGGCUACCCGCUGAAUUUAAGCAUAUCAAUAAGCGGAGGA